UAUAUAUUAAUUCACACAAGGUAAUUGACAUCGUGUUUUUGAGACUUCGGAAAAUGGAGAGUGGACGUGGUAGUGAGAAAAACAAUGACAAUCAAGGGAAGAGGAAGAUGGAAACCAACACAACAUUCUCAGAGAUUACAAAUCAAACUAUAGAAAAAAUUAAGCGAAGUCGUACUGGGUCAAGCUCAAUCAAGGCCCCCUUGUGCACUGCUCAUGACAUGACAUCACCAGGAUAUGAGUGGUUGCUCCCAGGCUGGGUCGCAGAAGAGCGACAUAUGCAAUCUGGCAGGGUCUAUAGGUACUUUUACGACCCUGAAGGGAAUUCCUAUAAGAGCAAGACCGAGGUUAAGGCUAUUUGGGAGAAGGCCGGAAUAAUUGUCCUUGAUGGCUGAAUUUGAAGGAUAUUCUUUGUGCUGUGCUUAUAUAAGAGAAUUCGAGCCUAUUGGAGAAAAGCAACAAUGUUUCAUUUUGAAAGCAAAUGGUGUAUUUUUUCCGUAGGUUUUUGGUUCUUUUGAGCAUGGUAACAAUUUAUAUGUGUUAUAUUUAUAUCUGUAGUACUUUUUCUAUGGAUGCGUUAAGCAUUUAUGUUUCAUUACUUGUCAAUUUGCUAUGCGGAUAUUUGGCAGUUGUGCUGAAUUUGAGCCUAUUGGAGAAAAGCAACAAUGUUUAAUUGCGAAAGCAAAUGGUGUAUUUUUUCCGUAGGUUUUUGAUUCUUUUGAGCAUGGUAACAAUAUAUAUGUGUGAUUAAUUUCUA